GACGAACGCUGGCGGCGUGCUUAACACAUGCAAGUCGAACGGAAAGGCCCUGCUUUUGUGGGGUGCUCGAGUGGCGAACGGGUGAGUAACACGUGAGUAACCUGCCCUUGACUUUGGGAUAACUUCAGGAAACUGGGGCUAAUACCGGAUAGGAGCUCCUGCUGCAUGGUGGGGGUUGGAAAGUUUCGGCGGUUGGGGAUGGACUCGCGGCUUAUCAGCUUGCUGGUGGGGUAGUGGCUUACCAAGGCUUUGACGGGUAGCCGGCCUGAGAGGGUGACCGGCAACAUUGGGACUGAGAUACGGCCCAGACUCCUACGGGAGGCAGCAGUGGGGAAUAUUGCACAAUGGGCGGAAGCCUGAUGCAGCAACGCCGCGUGCGGGAUGACGGCCUUCGGGUUGUAAACCACUUUCGCCUGUGACGAAGCGUGAGUGACGGUAAUGGGUAAAGAAGCACCGGCUAACUACGUG
rnacentral:rRNA from 1 species